rnacentral:rRNA from 1 species
AUUGAACGCUGGCGGCAGGCCUAACACAUGCAAGUCGAACGAGUGGCGGACGGGUGAGUAAUGUAUCGGAAACUGACUAAUGGAGGGGGCUAACUACUCGAAACAGUAGCUAAUACCGCAUACCAUCGGAUGUGCCCAGAUGGGAUUAGCUAGUAGGUGGGGUAAAGGAUCACCUAGGCGACGAUCCCUAGCUGGUAUGAGAGGAUGACCAGCCACACUGGGACUGAGACACGGUCCAGACUCCUACGGGAGGCAGCAGUGGGGAAUAUUGGACAAUGGGGGAAAGCCUGAUGCAGCCAUGCCGCGUGUAUGAAGAAGGCCUUCGGGUUGUAAAGUACUUUUAGCGGUGAAGCGUUAUCCGCAGAAGAAGCACCGGCUAACUCCGUGCCAGCAGCCGCGGUAAUUC